UACGAAGGGGGCUAGCGUUGCUCGGAAUUACUGGGCGUAAAGGGCGCGUAGGCGGAUAGUUUAGUCAGAGGUGAAAGCCCAGGGCUCAACCUUGGAACUGCCUUUGAUACUGGCUAUCUUGAGUUCGGGAGAGGUGAGUGGAAUGCCGAGUGUAGAGGUGAAAUUCGUAGAUAUUGGGAAGAACACCGGUUGCGAAGGCGGCCACCUGGACCGGCACUGACGCUGAGGUGCGAAAGCGUGGGGAGCAAACAGG
rnacentral:rRNA from 1 species